GGUUGACCUCGGAUCAGGUAGGGAUACCCGCUGAACUUAAGCAUAUCAAUAAGCGGAGGAAAAGAAACCAACAGGGAUUGCCCCAGUAACGGCGAGUGAAGCGGCAAGAGCUCAAAUUUGAAAGCUGGCCCCCUCGGGGUCCGCAUUGUAAUUUGCAGAGGAUGCUUCGGGAGUGGCCCCCAUCUAAGUGCUCUGGAACGGGCCGUCAUAGAGGGUGAGAAUCCCGUAUGGGAUGGGGUGUCCGCGACCAUGUGAAGCUCCUUCGACGAGUCGAGUUGUUUGGGAAUGCAGCUCUAAAUGGGUGGUAAAUUUCAUCUAAAGCUAAAUAUUGGCCGGAGACCGAUAGCGCACAAGUAGAGUGAUCGAAAGAUGAAAAGCACUUUGAAAAGAGAGUUAAAAAGCACGUGAAAUUGUUGAAAGGGAAGCGCUUGCGACCAGACUCGCCUACGGGGUUCAGCCGGUAUUCGUACCGGUGUACUUCCCCGUGGGCGGGCCAGCGUCGGUUUGGGCGGCCGGUCAAAGGCCCUCGGAAUGUAACGCCUCUCGGGGCGUCUUAUAGCCGAGGGUGCCAUGCGGCCAGCCCGGACCGAGGAACGCGCUUCGGCACGGACGCUGGCAUAAUGGUCGUAAGCGACC
rnacentral:rRNA from 1 species